rnacentral:tRNA from 1 species
GGUCUUGGUUGGCAUAAAUUAGUUUUGAAAACUGAUUAAGGGUGUUCGAAUCACCUAAAGAUCU